rnacentral:rRNA from 1 species
GUACACGCUGUGACUAGCAUAUCAAUAAGCGGAGGAAAAGAAACUAACAAGGAUUCCCUCAGUAACGGCGAGUGAAGCGGGAAGAGCUCAAAUUUGAAAUCUUGAAAGGUCACCUUUCACGAAUUGUAGUUUAAAGAAGUGUUUUCUGUUACGAUCGUAAUAUAAGUUCUUUGGAAUAGGACAUCACAGAGGGUGAGAAUCCCGUCUAUGAUUGCGAUUUGUAGCUUUGUGAUACACUUUCAAAGAGUCGGGUUGUUUGGGAAUGCAGCCCAAAACGGGAGGUAAAUUUCUUCUAAGGACUAAAUAUUGGCGAGAGACCGAUAGCGAACAAGUACCGUGAGGGAAAGAUGAAAAGAACUUUGAAAAGAGAGUUAAAUAGUACGUGAAAUUGUCAAAAGGGAAGCGUUUGACACCAGUGUUGUUUUCUGAAAAUCAACCUCUGUUAGCUUUAUGCAUGUUUGUUUAGACCUAAUCAGCUAUCUUGCAUGUUCUAUUGUUUGCAGUGGUGCACUUUUCAGUUUACAGGUCAACAUCAGUUUUUUUUACCGUAAAAAAGUUAAAGAAAGGUAGCUCAUGGCUCCGGUCGUGAGUGUUAUAGUCUUUUUCCUAUGCGGUAGGAGAGACUGAGGUCUGCAGUGUAGGCUAUUUGGCUAGAUACUCAGGUGCUAUGUGAUACCAUUUCAUAAACAACUUGUUGAUUAUGUUUUGUCUAUUGCAUACUCGCUUGUACUAUCAUACCUACGCUUAGGAUGUUGAGUAGCGACAUACGCAC